GUUUUCAAGGCAUGAUUGCAGAGCACGUGAGAUGUUCAUGCAGGUGGCCAGUGUUUGGAUGCUAAGUGGGGUAUGUGUUGCUUGCUGCUUCCAUGUGUAGCUCCCAAGACAUGGUGGCUCAGAAAUCAGGGAUGUGGAUAUGUUGAAUAGAUUUAAUAAUAUAGCAGUUGCAGAGGAUGUCAAUAUUGAAAAGGAAACAUUCCUUUUAAUCACAGAGAGAGCAGGUGAUUCAUUAUGGAAGGCAGAGAAGCCAUUGGAACAAUUCAGCCUUCUUUCUUCAGAAGCUACACUCUAAAGGUUCCCAAAUGAUUGGUUUGUCGCCAGACGAAGAGCUACUAGAUUUGCUUGAAGCAUUAUCAGCUAGAAUUGAAAAUACAGUAAGACGCACACAAGAUAUCAUUGAUUCUGGAAUCAAGUCAUAUGACUUUGUUUUACAGCUAGCUACCCUGGUCAUGAAUAUUUUGGCCAAUAGUUCAAAGGCACAUUAAACUCAGAUUUUCUUCGGCAGGUCUUACUUUUUGCUUCAAAGUAGUAAAACAGGGGAGGCGAAUAAACCUGAGCCAGUCUGGCGCAUUGGAGUCCAUGAGCACCUUCCCAGCAAUCAUGCGCAGCCCUAGCUCCGCCGCCACCUGGAAAAAAGCAUCUACAGACUC